rnacentral:piRNA from 1 species
UGAUUUCAAGUUUCCUUCUGCUGCAGGGA